ensembl:lincRNA
CACAAACAACUCCUUUUACAAUGAUGCUUGUUUGUUGGCCUUUUCUACACUAACAUAUUCUGCCUACAUUAUUCAAAGAAUCUAAGGUCUUCUGAACAAGACUUUUGUUUCAGAGAUAGUACAUGCAUCCUUUGUUUAGCUUUGCAUGUUAGCAGACUUUGUUAAUUCACUUAUCUUUAGAGACACAUUUAUAUCAGAAAAUUUAACUUGAUGAUUUAAAAAAUUGGUGAAAUACGUGUAGACUUUUGUAACUGGAUUAUAGUUUCAUCUAAGAACUCACUAAAAAUAUAUUGAACUUCAGGAAGAGAUUUUUAAAUGGCUUUGGUAAGCCAUUUAAAAACCUUAUUUUCCCAAAUGAAUUAGUGUUGGUGUGUGGAUGAGGAACUUUGCUGUUAUUCUGUGAGCAUUACCCGAUAAGAACUAAUCAGAUGACAGAUGGAAUCUGAAGCUUGUUCUGAUGAAUUUUUGAGAUUCUGUCAGGCCAGUUAUCCCUCUUCUGCCUGUCGAAAAGUGUGUCCAAAGGAGUAAGAGUGUUGACCCUUGGUUCAUAUGCAUAAUUGUGGAGAAUAGAGAGUGUUUAUGAUAUUAGAGCUGACGAAAGCCAUUAAUCUAAGUAACAAGAACAAGAACAGCAACCCUCAGCACCAGAUGUAGAGGACAGCCAUGUAUUGUGGCCCCACACAUUUCUACUUUCAAAGCACACCUCUGCCUUAUCUGUUAUGGGUCAUGAGUACCCCUGGGUAUCACCAUCUUUGUUUCAAACUACUGCCAUUUCUGUUUUACUACUGUUUCUGCCAGAAAGACCAUUGCUGGUGGGCCCCACUAUCUCUUCCUCUGGGUACAGGUACUUGUUUGAUGGCUCUGAAAUACUGCAUAUAUGGAUGAUUGUGAACAUACCAAACAGCUUACUGUGCCCAGCAAUAUUUCUCCAUUAUGGCCCAUCUACUAAAAGGCUAAAUAUUUGUAAUAUAGUAUUGUUUAUGUCACCUUCUAUAAGGAAAAUGACUGCACUUUAGUUAGGAGUAGGCUGUGGCGGCCUUCUAGAGCAGCAUGACUCAGUGGGUUUCGAGUGCAGGCACAUAACCCUGUACAUUAUGUAAACACGCCAUGUGAGCCGCAUUAGGUGAUCACCCACAUGAGCUUGUGAUUGGCUCUGAGCCACUAUUGUCUGUAAAAGGUAUAAUAAAAGCUGUACAUAUGGCUCACUCAUGCCCAGAGAGAGAGUAAAUCCAUGUGAAAACUGUCUACAAUUCCUCAAGUGUUUUCCAAGUUACCUGCCACUCGCCCACCAACUCCCCUCGCA